UACAGAGGUCUCAAGCGUUGUUCGGAAUCACUGGGCGUAAAGGGUGCGUAGGUGGCGUGGUAAGCCAGAUGUGAAAGCCCGGGGCUCAACCUCGGAAUUGCAUCCGAUACUACCAUGCUAGAGUACUGAAGAGGUGACUAGAAUUCUCGGUGUAGCAGUGAAAUGCGUAGAUAUCGAGAGGAAUACCAACGGCGAAGGCAGGUCACUGGGCAGUUACUGACACUGAGGCACGAAGGCCAGGGGAGCAAACGGG
rnacentral:rRNA from 1 species